UACAGAGGGGGCAAGCGUUGUUCGGAAUUACUGGGCGUAAAGGGCGCGUAGGCGGCCCGCUAAGUCGAACGUGAAAUCCCCGAGCUCAACUCGGGAACUGCGUCCGAUACUGGCGGGCUUGAAUCCGGGAGAGGGAUGCGGAAUUCCAGGUGUAGCGGUGAAAUGCGUAGAUAUCUGGAGGAAUACCGGUGGCGAAGGCGGCAUCCUGGACCGGCAUUGACGCUGAGUGAGCGAAAGCCAGGGGAGCAAACGGGG
rnacentral:rRNA from 1 species